UACGAAGGGGGCUAGCGUUGCUCGGAAUCACUGGGCGUAAAGGGUGCGUAGGCGGGUCUUUAAGUCAGGGGUGAAAUCCUGGAGCUCAACUCCAGAACUGCCUUUGAUACUGAAGAUCUUGAGUUCGGGAGAGGUGAGUGGAACUGCGAGUGUAGAGGUGAAAUUCGUAGAUAUCAGGAGGAACACCGGUGGCGAAAGCGGCUCUCUGGCCCGAUACUGACGCUCAUGUACGAAAGCGUGGGGAGCAAACAGG
rnacentral:rRNA from 1 species